CUCGAAUUUAAAAGAGCUAAAAGUUUAUUAUUGUUAGUGUGGAAUAAUUAAAAUUAAAUAAAUUUUUAGUAGUGAAAUGUUAUUCGUUUUUAAAUAUAUCUAGUUUUUUAAGAAAAAAAUUUAAUUUUAAUAUUUUAAAUAUAAAUUUUUAUAUUUAAUUUAUAUUAAAAAUGUUAAAUAUUUUUAGGGAUGAGCUUAAAAAUAUAAUUUUAUUAAAUAAUAAUUAUAAUUUAUUUUUUAGGAUUAAAAAUUUUCAUAAUAAAGUUUGUUAUAAUUUAAUUAGAGUUAGUAUUAUUUUUAUUAUUUAUAAAUUUUUUAUUAAAAAUUAUUUUAUAAUUUUAUUAAAAUUAGAAAUAAUGGUAAAAUUAGUAUAAGUUUUAUUAUAAAAAUAUUUAAAUUUUAAAGGUUAUUUAAAGGAAUUCGGCAAAUCUAUUUUUCGCCUGUUUAAUAAAAACAUGUCUUUUUGUAAAAAAUUUAAAGUCGGGCCUGCCCACUGAAAAAGACUUAAAUGGCCGCGGUAUUUUGACCGUGCUAAGGUAGCAUAAUCAUUAGUUUUUUAAUUGGAAGCUGGAAUGAAGGGUUUGAUGAAAAAAUAACUGUCUCUAAAUAAUUUUAUUAGAAUUUUAUUUUUAAGUUAAAAAGCUUAAAUAUUUUUAAAAGACGAGAAGACCCUAUAGAGUUUAAUAAAAAAAUUAAAUUUUAAAUUCAGAAUUUAGUUUAAUAUUAGAUUAAUUUAUUAAGUUGGGGUGAUUUAAAAAUUUGAUAAACUUUUUUUAUAUUAUUAUAUUAAUUAAUAAAUUUUUGAUCCAAUUAUAUUGAUUAUAAGAAAAAAUUACCUUAGGGAUAACAGCGUAAUCUUAUUAGAGAGAUCAAAUUGAAAAUAAGGGUUGCGACCUCGAUGUUGGAUUAAAAUUUAUAUUUGGUGUAGAGGCUAAAUAAUUAGGUCUGUUCGACUUUUAAAAUUUUACAUGAUCUGAGUUUAAACCGGUGUAAGCCAGGUUGGUUUCUAUCUUUAAUUUAUUAUUAUAUUUUAGUACGAAAGGACCAUUUAUA
rnacentral:rRNA from 1 species